UACAGAGGUCUCGAGCGUUGUUCGGAUUCAUUGGGCGUAAAGGGUGCGUAGGUGGCGCUGUAAGUCGGGUGUGAAAUCCUGAGGCUCAACCUCGGAACUGCAUUCGAUACUGCCGUGCUUGAGGACUGGAGAGGAGACUGGAAUUUACGGUGUAGCGGUGAAAUGCGUAGAUAUCGUAAGGAAGACCAGUGGCGAAGGCGGGUCUCUGGACAGUUCCUGACGCUGAGGCACGAAGGUCAGGGGAGCAAACGGG
rnacentral:rRNA from 1 species